UAUUAAAUAUAAGAUGUUCAUUGAUUUUUUUUUUUUUUCUUCUCAUUCUACAGUUUGGUCCAGGAUUCGAGAGUGCCUUUUUGAAAAAUCUUCAAAUAAAGAUGCUGAAAACAAAAAACACGAAGAAGGUGUUCCUUUGUCAAAAAGCCACCAAAGUGAAACUUCAAAUAAAGAUGCUGAAAACAAAUAACCCGAAGAAGGUGUUCCUUUGUCAUAAAGCAGUUGAAUAUAACAUAAGAAAUCAUUUCAACUACUCUGGCCCCCUAACCCUAAACUGGUUGAAGUGGGUUUGAUGAUGGAUGGAUUGAUGAACUUCUCAGUUACAUCCUAGAGAAACAUGAAGCAUAAUUGUAUUUUUAUAAUUUAAGUUUAUUCUGUGCUCUCACAUUUAUAAAGCUUUGGACCAUAUUUAUCUCUGUAUAAUGGCUAGUAUUCCUGUCCCGUGGGAUUUUGCAGAGCAUUGUUUGUGUGUUUGUGUUAGCUUAUGAUAUGCUGCACAUCAUAUUUAAUUGUAUUUUUUAUGUUCUAAAAAGUGAUCUAAAAUGCUAAUAAGAUUUGAAAGAUAAUAGGCGACGCCAGUAACUGAGAGCUAAAUAAAUCAUACAUGUCAUUGGCAACAUUGAUGCAUGUUUAUACCAAAAAAAAAGUAGACUGGCUGCAUGGCAUAAUAAACUAAUUAAUGAAAGUAAAAGGGCACAUUUUAAUUGUCCAUGUUUACUCCACUUGUCUAUUUAAGGGAAUGUGACAGUAGUACUGUGUUUUUCAAAUGUUUGCUCAGCCCUACAACAUUAUCAUUUGUGAUACAGAAAAUAUGCACCUAGCUGAGCUGUGAGAGCUCAGAAAGUAUUUCAUUUAAUGACAUGUUGACUGGAGUAUUGUAAUUUAAUAGCCAGGAUUCGUGUUCCCUGGGGCCCUUACUUGAUGUGUGUUUUAUUUUCAUGAAAACUGUUUUAAAUUGGUAAUGAUGUACUGAGGCUAGGGAUCUGCACUGGCAAUCGGAAAGUUGCCCAUUCGAAUCUCGUAAAUGUCAAGAGACUCUGCUCUGUUGGGCCCUUGAGCAAGGCCCUUAACCUGCAAUUGCUGAGCGCUUUAAGUAGUGAGAAAAGCGCUAUAUAAAUGCAAAGAAUUAUUGAAUUUUGAACCUGUAUCUCCAUUAAAACAUUUUAGCUUAUCCUGUCCAAUUUAUUGAAGGUUACCCUGGACUAAGAUUUGUUUUCAUCCAAAUGUGUUGCCAUCCGUAUUUGGCAGAAAAACAAACACCAAGCUUGAAUAUUAAAUUUCUUAACUUUUGGCCUCUAAAUUUAGUCUCUAUAAAAAGGUAAGUUUGUAAAAAAUGUUUUUGUUCACAUUAAACACUUUCUUGAAGAUUUAAAUUUUUAUCAAGUAGUGCACGCUGGAUCCAAAGGGUUUGCGUAUGUUAUGUUACGUGCAGGCUCAUACUUUGGUGCAUCACAGCUUUUGCUCGAGUAUGUUGCAUACCAGUGCUGCAUUAAUUUAAACAAAAUUAAAAAUUUGCAAUGUUGUUUGUACUCGGGUUUUUGUUGUGUUGCCAGAGCAGCAGUAAUUAGGGAUCUGGCACAAUGUGAGUAAAUAUAAAAUGCACUUGUAGGUGGCAGGUAUGUGAAAAAAGUUUUUCUUUUAUUAACAUUUUCUGUAUCAAACAAGUUGUUCUUAAUAUCAUUGUUUUUAUUUUCAGUUGCUAACAAUUAUUUGCAAAGUUCAUUGGUCUAAAAUGCCUAAAUCUGGUUGUGCCUUUUUAAAUAUACAAUAACAUAUAUAAAAAAGUUCUACUGGCUCGCAGUAGAAAAUAGAAUUAGUGAGUCAGUGUCACAACUAAAGGAGAUGAAAUUGAGCAACAUUAAGACUUUUGAUUGGGUGAUGUUAGUUUUCAUGAGGAAAUAGCAUCAUUGAAAUUUGAUAUUCUUUUAGUUUCUGGAAAAAACUUUGAAUUUGUAUGACUGCUUCUGUGUAUUUCGAAAACAGUUAGCAUUUUUAUUUUCUCUUUAAGCACUUCUGAAAAUGUGUGUCCAAUAUUGAGGUGUGUUGUUAUUUUACACAGUAGAUAAAUUCCUCAGCAUUUCCAUUGUUUUCCAAUUUGUUUUAGUGGAGAGGAUUUUUAUAGAUUCCUCCUAUAAAUAUGAAUCUCUUGAUCUUUUGAGGUUUGUGAAGUCUUGCAUUACUGUGUACAUUAUAUUAUGUGAAGCACUUUGAGCUUCAUUUCUUUUAUGAAAAUGUGCUAUAAAAAUAAAAUGUUGUGUUCCCUUUGGACAAGAUA